AUUUUUCUAUUUUUAGUACAGAUGGGGUUUCACCAUGUUGGCCAGGCCGGUCUCAAAAUCCUGGCCUUAGGUAAUCUGCCUGCCUCAACCUCCCAAAGCGCUGGGAUUACAGGCAUGAGCCACUGCACCCAGCCCAUAAACAGUGCUUUUUAUUGGGUACUAGAAGCAUAUGAAUAGCAGAGCAUAAACCUAAAUUUGAUCUAAUGACCUUUGACAGUGUUAAAAGCUCUGGAACCUGGAGACAGGAAACCAGUUUUUCAUACUUUUUAUUUUGAAAUUAUUAUAGAUUCACAGGAAGUUGCAAAGAUAGUACAAAGUGGUCCCAAUUUUCUUUGCCAAAUUUCUCUCAAUUUUUUUUUCCAGACAGGUCCUUGCUCUGUUGCCCAGGCUGCUGUGCAGUGGCAUGACCAUAGUUCACUGCAACCUCAAACUCCUGAGCUUCAGCGAUCCUCCCACCUCAGCCUCCCAAGUAGUCCCAUAGUCCCAGCCCCUGAGCUGGGACUACAGGUAUGUGCCACCAUGCCUGGCUAAUUUUUUAUAGAGACGGGGUUUCACUAUAUUGCGCAGACUUGUCUUGAACUCCUGGGCUCAAGCAACCCUCCUGCUUCAGCCUCCGAAAGCACUGGGAUUACAGGCAGGAGGCACCUGACCUCCAAGGGUUACAGGGUUACAUCUCUUUUUUUUUUUUUUUUUUUUGAGAUGGAGUUUCAUUCUUGUCCCCGAGGCUAGAAUGCAGUGGUGUGAUCUCAGCUCACUGCAAACUCCGCCUCCUGGGUUUCAGCAAUUCUCUUGCUUCACCCUCUGGAGUAGCUGGCACAGGUGCGUGCCACCACUCCUGGCUAAUUUUUGUAUGUUUAGUAGAGACGGGGUCUCACUAUGUUGGCCAGGCUGGUCUCAAACUCCUGACCUCAGGUGAUCUGCCCACCUCAGCCUCCGAAAGUGCUGGGAUUACAGGGGUAAGCCACCGUGCCAGGCCCUCCAAGGGUUACAUCUUAUGUAAAGUAUCAAAGCCAGGAAACUGACGUGGGUAUAAUGUGUGUGCCUAAUUCUGUGUUGUUUUAUCACAUGCAAAUUUGUGUAACUACUACCUCUUCAAGUAAAAUGCAGAACUGCUCCCCCACCAAACAGAUCUCUCUGGUGAGACCUCUGUGUAGCCAUACCCACUCUCUCCCCAUCAACAACUAAUGUGUCUCCAUCGCUAUCAUUUUGAGGAGGCUGAGUUUUAAAUCAACUUCCGACCCUCUCAGCAGUGUGACCUUGGAUAAGUCAUUUGUCCUUUUCUGGAUGUUGAUCUUCUCAGCUAAAGUAAGACAAGGUUGGCUCACAUCAACAUUCCUCUUGAAUUUCCACAGGCUGAUAUGAUCUGAAAAUGCUACGGAGAUUAUGAGAAAGAAAAUGGGGUUUUAUGGUGAAAUAAACUAGGGAAAUGAUGCUUUCCAUAAAUACAUAAUGCUUCUUUACCGUGAAUUCUCAGCCCUUUAAUACACUAAGGUGAACUGUGAAUCUUCUAGUGUGGGAGGUAUACGCAGCAUUUUCCAAAUUUAUCUGAACACAGAAUGCUCCCCCCACCCUUAAAAAAAUCCUCUAGAAAAAAAAUCACUUGGAACUAGUUUUUCAGGGAAUAUGCUUAGAGAUAUGCUUUUUCAGGUGACCUCUGAGGUCCUCCUGCCUCAGGGAUCCCACCCAGAUUAAAUGCCUAGAAAUAUAUCCUCCCUCGUGGGUUAAAUUAUGUAUCUUCAGCCAAAACCUACGAGUGUGACCUUAUUUGAAAUAAGGGUCUUUUCAAGUGUAAUUAAGAUAAGGAUCUUGAGAUGAGAUCAUUCUAGUUUAGGGUGAAGUCCAAAUCCAACGAAGAGUGUUCUUAUCAGAGACAGAAAAGGGGGACACGCAUAGACACAGAAGAAAAUGAUAGGCUAGGCAUGAUGGCUUGCACCUGUAAUCCCAGUGCUUCGGGAGGCUGAGGCAGGAGGAUUGCUCAAGCCCAGGAGUUCCAGGCUGCAGUGAGCUAUAAUCACCCCACUGUACUCCAGCCUGGGUGACAGAGCGAGACCCUGUCUCUGAAAAAAGAAAGAAGGAAGGAAGGAAAGAAAAAGAAACAAAGAGAAAGAAAGACAAAGAAAGAAAAAAAGAAAGAAAGGAAGAAAAAAGAAAAGAGAGAGAGAAAGGGAGAGAGGAAGAAAGGGAAGGGAGGGAGGGGAAGGAAGGAAGGAAGUAAGGAAUGAAGGAAGGAAGGGAGGGAGGGAGGGAAUGCUCUGUGCUGUAGAGGCAGAGUCUGGAGGGCAGCCAUAAGCUAAGGGCCACAGCCGCCAGAAGAUAGGCAAGGGCAACCUUAGCCAUGCUUGGAUUUCAGACUUCUGGCCUCCAGAACUGAGAGAUAAUAAAUUUCUGCUCUUUUAAGCCACCCACUCUGUGGUUCUUUGCUACAGCAGCCUGAGGAAACACAUAACCCUCUUUUCAGACUCUUGGGGUAUUUCAUUUUUAUUUAUUUUUUGUAGAGAUGGGGUUUCACUUUGUUGCCCAGGCUAGUCUCGAACUUCUGGGCUCAAGCUACCCUCCCGCCUAGACCUCCCAAAGUGCUGGGAUUACAGGCCUGAGCCACCGUGCCCCGACAAGGGGUUUUUAUUUUUUAAAAGAGCAGUGGCUGUUCACAAGUGCAGUCAUGGUGUACUGCAACCUUGAACUCCUGGGCUCACUUGAUCCUCCCGCUUCAUCCUGCGGAGCAGCUGGGACUACAGGUACAUGCCACCGAACCCUGCAGAAUCUUAGGGGGUUUUGAAGGAAGGAAGGGUCUCGUUUAAGUUUCUCCAGCCCCCAAGCUCCUUCCCUCCUCAGGCCUUUGCAUAUGCUGACCCCUCUGGGAACCUGAAUGGUGAAAAUACAGCAGCCCUGUGAAGACUGGGAGGAGGGCAUUGGGAGGGAGGGAAGUUCCAAGCAGAAAAGCCACCAAAGGCCCUGGGCCAGGCCAAGAUUUGGGAUAGUCAAGUCCCAGAGAGAAGGCAACUGUGGCUGCCACGCAGUGAGAAGGGAGGAGAAGUAGGAGAAGACGCUUGAGGGCAAGGGAGGGGCCACACACUGCCUAAGUCCUGCCAGCUACGGUCAGGGGUUUGAAGUUUAUUCCAAUGGGCAACUUUAAAAAAAAUUUUUUUUUGAAUAGGGUCUCGCUCUGUCACCCAGGCUGGAGUACAGUGGUGCGAUCACAGCUCACUGCAGCUUCAACCUCUUGAUCUCUUAAGCAAUCGUCCCACCUCAGUCUCCCCCUGCCCCACCUCCGCACUACCCCGCCCUGCCAUCGGAUAGCUGGGACCACAGACUCACACCACCAUGAGUGAAGCCAAAAAAUACAAACAUACUUUUUGUAUUUUUUUGUAGAGACAGAGGUCUCUCUAUGUUGCCCAGGCUGGUCUCGAACUCCUGGGCUCAAUCGAUCUUCCCUCCCACCUUGGCCUCCCAAAGUGCUGGUAUUACAGGAGUGAGACAUGGCGCCCAGCCCAUUGGAGGAUUUUUUUUUUGAGACGGAGUCUCGCUGUGUCACCCAGGCUGGAGUGCAGUGGCACGAUCUCAGCUCACUGCAACCUCUGCCUCAUUGGAGGAUUUUAAGCACGGGAAUAACAAGUCUUGUUUGCGCUUUAGAAAGAUCUCCCUAAGUGCAGUGUGUGGGAUAAACUGCAGGGGGUGAGAUGGAGACAAGCCUGGAGGCAGAAAUCAGGUAGUUCAUUAGGAUAGGCUGGGCUAGGGAUGAAGGUGGCUUGGUCGAGGGCUGUAACCGUGAAAUGGGAAUAAGUGGGCCUAGGUCUAUUUUGCAGGCAGCGCUGUCAGGAUGAUGGAGUGAGGGAAAAAGAAAUCACAAUAAUUUCUUAGUGUUUUAGCCUACACAGCUGGGCGAAUGGGGAGCGACAUCUAUUUAUGAUAGGAGACCUUGGGAAGGACUGGAUUUGAGGGGGUGGUGGAGGGAAAUUCGAGCCUGCUUUUGGCUGGGAGAUGCUCAUUAGGCAUCCAAGAGGAGGCGUGAGGUAGUUAAAUAUGUGAAUCUGAGUCCCAGGGAGAAGUCUCGGCGGGAGAUUAAGUCUUGAGAUUCAUCAGACCAGAGAUGGUCUGUGAAGCCGCAGAUCAGGAUGACAGCCACUAUGGGAAUGAACAAAGAUGAAGACCGGAGACCCCAAGACAGACCUCCGGGGCAGCCAUCACUGAGAGAGGGCGGAGGAGGAGGGGGAAGUGAAGGCUCCUGAGGAGAAGGCCAUGUGGAGGAGGGAAACCAGGGGAAGGUGGAGUCGGAGACAUUGGAAGAACAGAUGGGCACACCAACGCCUGGAGAUGUUGGAUGCAGAAGGCGAAAUGUCAGAAGCUGGAGUCCUGCAUCUCAGCUGGAAGGUGAGGUAAGAUUCCUGCUGGUGUUUAUCCCUCUCCUCACUUCCCUCAGCAGCAGCCCCUUUCUCCUCCCCUCCUGCAUCCCUGGAGCAAGUGCCUUAAGGCCUUCCUGCUUCAACAUGCCCCCCACCCUACAGCCUUUCCUGCAUUUCCCUGUCCUCUGGGGAGUCCCUGCAGAUAGAAAUUCAACUGCACAGCCACGAGGAACAUCUCCUUGAUGUUAACUAGACUGUGUUUCUUUACAAAUAUCUGGUGGCAGAUCUCUUCAUUCAUUCAUUCAUUCAUUCAUUCAUGCACCCAUUUAAUCUUCAUUCAUUCAUUCCAUCUUUCAUUAUUCACUCAUUGGGUUUGAGCAACUAAACCAGCCACGAGGGAUGAAAUUCUCCGUCACUGUGAAACUGCUCAUUCACCCAACUAGCCAGCUCACUGUUUCUGUCAUUCAUUAUACACCUCAUAAGUCCUGCAUAGGUCUGAGAUGUGGGCUUCAUGUAUGUCUGGCAGGCAUCCAGGCUUUCCCAUCAUGUGUCUGUCCCCUGGGUCACAUCCAUGUCAGGUGGGUACCACAGUCUAAAGUCCUUGUAUUCUCUUCCACAUACCAGGGCUGAUAAUUUAUCAGUUGCCAUUGAUCAAAGUUCACAAGGCAAAUCUUCAUAAACUUCUAAAGCUGCCUACAGUUUCCCGUAAACAAAUCUCUAAAUUUACAAAAGCAAUGCUUGCUGAUUGUAAAAAACACACAGUGCCAAAGCAUACAAAGGAAGAAGACCCGCUUGCAAUUUGCUACCUACAUCCCACUCUUGGGGCCAACAACUAUUGGAAGUGUGGUGAGUGAUUGACUUACAUCCUUCUAGAUCUUAUCUACAUAUUUGCAAAGAAAAAAUAUACAUAUAUAAAAUAAAAUAUGUGUGGGUUAUAUCCUUACAAACUGAGAUCAUAGGCAGUUCCGCAACUUGCCUUUUCUCUGUAACAAUAAGUGAUGGAUGCUUUGCAGGGUUGGUGCUACAGAUCCUAUUUAUUCUUUUAAAAGGCUGCAUAGGGAGCUCUGGUGGCACAAUGAAUUAGUG
rnacentral:lncRNA from 1 species